rnacentral:rRNA from 1 species
UUGCCUACGGGGGGCAGCAGUGGGGAAUAUUGCGCAAUGGGCGAAAGCCUGACGCAGCGACGCCGCGUGAGUGAAGAAGUAAUUCGUUAUGUAAAGCUCUAUCAGCAGGGAAGAAAAUGACGGUACCUGAGUAAGAAGCCCCGGCUAACUACGUGCCAGCAGCCGCGGUAAUACGGAGGGUGCGAGCGUUAAUCGGAAUUACUGGGCGUAAAGCGCUCGUAGGCGGUAUGUCAAGUCAAGGGUGAAAUCCCCGCGCUCAACGUGGGAACUGCCUUUGAAACUGGCAAACUGGAGUGUGUGAGAGG